rnacentral:rRNA from 1 species
AUUGAACGCUGGCGGCAGGCCUAACACAUGCAAGUCGAACGAGUGGCGGACGGGUGAGUAAUGUCUGGGAAACUGCCCGAUGGAGGGGGAUAACUACUGGAAACGGUAGCUAAUACCGCAUACCAUCGGAUGUGCCCAGAUGGGAUUAGCUAGUAGGUGGGGUAACGGCUCACCUAGGCGACGAUCCCUAGCUGGUCUGAGAGGAUGACCAGCCACGCUGGAACGGAGACAAGGUCCAGAGUCGUAAGGGAUGGAGAAGUGUGGAAUAUUGCCCAAUGGGCGAAAGCCUGAUGCCGCCAGGCCGAAUGUAUGAUGAAGGCCUUCGGGUUGUAAAGUACUUUCGGCCGCGGAAUGGUAGUGGGUAAAGAAGCGCCGGCUAACUACGUGCCAGCAGCCGCGGUAAUUC